AGAUUCCUACGGGAGGCAGCAGUAGGGAAUCUUCCGCAAUGGACGAAAGUCUGACGGAGCAACGCCGCGUGAGUGAUGAAGGUUUUCGGAUCGUAAAGCUCUGUUGUUAGGGAAGAACAAGUGCGAGAGUAACUGCUCGCACCUUGACGGUACCUAACCAGAAAGCCACGGCUAACUACGUGCCAGCAGCCGCGGUAAUACGUAGGUGGCAAGCGUUGUCCGGAAUUAUUGGGCGUAAAGGGCUCGCAGGCGGUUUCUUAAGUCUGAUGUGAAAGCCCCCGGCUCAACCGGGGAGGGUCAUUGGAAACUGGGAAACUUGAGUGCAGAAGAGGAGAGUGGAAUUCCACGUGUAGCGGUGAAAUGCGUAGAGAUGUGGAGGAACACCAGUGGCGAAGGCGACUCUCUGGUCUGUAACUGACGCUGAGGAGCGAAAGCGUGGGGAGCGAACAGGAUUAGAUACCCUGGUAGUCCACGCCGUAAACGAUGAGUGCUAAGUGUUAGGGGGUUUCCGCCCCUUAGUGCUGCAGCUAACGCAUUAAGCACUCCGCCUGGGGAGUACGGUCGCAAGACUGAAACUCAAAGGAAUUGACGGGGGCCCGCACAAGCGGUGGAGCAUGUGGUUUAAUUCGAAGCAACGCGAAGAACCUUACCAGGUCUUGACAUCCUCUGACAACCCUAGAGAUAGGGCUUUCCCUUCGGGGACAGAGUGACAGGUGGUGCAUGGUUGUCGUCAGCUCGUGUCGUGAGAUGUUGGGUUAAGUCCCGCAACGAGCGCAACCCUUGAUCUUAGUUGCCAGCAUUUAGUUGGGCACUCUAAGGUGACUGCCGGUGACAAACCGGAGGAAGGUGGGGAUGACGUCAAAUCAUCAUGCCCCUUAUGACCUGGGCUACACACGUGCUACAAUGGACAGAACAAAGGGCUGCGAGACCGCAAGGUUUAGCCAAUCCCAUAAAUCUGUUCUCAGUUCGGAUCGCAGUCUGCAACUCGACUGCGUGAAGCUGGAAUCGCUAGUAAUCGCGGAUCAGCAUGCCGCGGUGAAUACGUUCCCGGGCCUUGUACACACCGCCCGUCACACCACGAGAGUUUGUAACACCCGAAGU
rnacentral:rRNA from 1 species